CUGCGGAAGGAUCAUUACAGUAUGUUCAGAGGUGGCUUUGCUGCUGGCUCCUUCACCGGAGCAUGUGCGCGCCCCCUCGCCUUCAUCCACAUAUACACUUGUGCACCUCGGUCGAAGCCUCCCGUCUGGAGCCGCCUUGCUUUUACCGCUUGGCUGAGGCCUCGACUGCUUUAUUACACUACAGCCUGUCUUUAACGCAUGUCUAAUGUCCUACGGGAUGAUAUUAAAUACAACUUUCAACAACGGAUCUCUUGGCUUUCGCAUCGAUGAAGAACGCCGCGMAAGUGCGAAACGUAAUGUGAAUUGCAGAAUUCAGUGAAUCAUCGAAUCUUUGAACGCAUCUUGCGCUCCUUGGUAUUCCGAGGAGCAUGCCUGUUUGAGUGUCGUGAACUCUCUCAACCCUUCCCUUUCUCUAGGGCUCUCGGGUUGGAUUUGGACGCCUGCCGCGGGUUUCGACCUUGCCGGCUCGUCUUGAAAUGCAUCAGCUGGUCCGCCGCAUGAGCUCGGUUCAACAACGGUGUGAUAAGAAACGCUUCGUGUCUGUAGCGCCGUUUUCGCCGACUCUUUGGAGAAGGACUGCUUCCAACCGUCUUAGGACAAACAUUCACUUCAUCUGACCUCAAAUCAGGUAGGACUACCCGCUGAACUUAAGCAUAUCAAUAAGCGGAGGAAAAGAAACUAACAAGGAUUCCCCUAGUAACGGCGAGUGAAGCGGGAAGAGCUCAAA
rnacentral:rRNA from 1 species